GUAUUGUAUUAAUAUAUCAAACUGUAUCGACCUACUCCGCAGAGAAAGCCAAUACUGCUGUUUUAUCAGCCAAGUGGUUUGGAGUGGCCCACGACCGUGGUAGCGCAUGCCAAACACACGCUACCAAAAGCCGCCUUCCACCAAAAUAUUGGUUAGGUGCAAAAUUAUAAAAAGGCGUCUCGGGCCGGCAAAGAUUUUGCCUCCCCUCAACAUUCCUUUUUAUAUUAGAAUCCUUGAAUGAUCCUUCCGCAGGUUCACCUACGGAAA
rnacentral:misc_RNA from 1 species